UACGUAGGUGGCAAGCGUUGUCCGGAUUUACUGGGCGUAAAGAGCGCGCAGGCGGUUGUGCAAGUCGCGUGUGAAAGCCCCGGCUCAACUGGGGAGGGUCGAGCGCGAUCUGCUCAACUCGAAGGCAGGAGAGGGAAGUGGAAUUCCCGGUGUAGUGGUGAAAUGCGUAGAGAUGUGGAGGAACACCGAUGGCGAAGGCAGCCCCCUGGGUCAACCACU
rnacentral:rRNA from 1 species